rnacentral:rRNA from 1 species
CCUACGGGCGGCUGCAGUGGGGAAUAUUGGACAAUGGGCGAAAGCCUGAUCCAGCCAUGCCGCGUGUGUGAAGAAGGCCUUCGGGUUGUAAAGCACUUUAAGCGGGGAGGAAGGCCUUGAGACUAAUACUCUUGAGGAUUGACGUUACCCGCAGAAUAAGCACCGGCUAACUCUGUGCCAGCAGCCGCGGUAAUACAGAGGGUGCAAGCGUUAAGCGGAAUUACUGGGCGUGGAGUGUGCGUAGGGAUUUGAAAUCCCCGGGCUCAACCUGGGCACGGCAUCCGAUACUGGCUGACUAGAGUGUGGUAGAGGAAGGUAGAAUUCCAGGUGUAGCGGUGAAAUGCGUAGAGAUCUGGAGGAAUACCGAUGGCGAAGGCAGCCUUCUGGCCUAACACUGACGCUGAGGUGCGAAAGCAUGGGGAGCAAACAGGAUUAGAUACCCUGGUAGUC